AGCGAACGCUGGCGGCAGGCUUAACACAUGCAAGUCGAACGGGCACUUCGGUGCUAGUGGCAGACGGGUUAGUAACGCGUGGGAACGUACCUUUAGGUUCGGAAUAAUUCAGGGAAACUUGGACUAAUACCGGAUACGCCCUUCGGGGGAAAGAUUUAUCGCCGAUAGAUCGGCCCGCGUCUGAUUAGCUAGUUGGUGAGGUAAUGGCUCACCACGGCGACGAUCAGUAUCUGGUCUGAGAGGAUGAUCAGCCACAUUGGGACCGAGACACGGCCCAAACUCCUACGGGAGGCAGCAGUGGGGAAUAUUGGACAAUGGGCGCAAGCCUGAUCCAGCCAUGCCGCGUGAGUGAUGAAGGCCUUAGGGUUGUAAAGCUCUUUUGUCCGGGAAGAUAAUGACUGUACCGGAAGAAUAAGCCCCGGCUAACUUCGUGCCAGCCGCCGCGGUAUAC
rnacentral:rRNA from 1 species